CUUUAAAAGUGGCUAAACAUACUGGUAGUUGAAUAUGUCAGACAGUCUAUAAGCCUGCCAGUUAGGAGUGGGUUAAUUACUCUGCAAUCUUUCCUGACAAAUAUAGAAUUAAAGACUCAUUCUAGUUCCCCAGCAGAGGAUAGUGUAGCUUUUCUGCAGGUCUCCCUGUAAGGUGAGUGUUAAAUCAGUAUUGCCAGACCCCUUACAGAACCUGG